rnacentral:rRNA from 1 species
CCUACGGGGCGCAGCAGUGAGGAAUAUUGGUCAAUGGACGGAAGUCUGAACCAGCCAUGCCGCGUGCAGGAAGACGGCUCUAUGAGUUGUAAACUGCUUUUGUACAAGGGUAAACCUGAAUACGUGUAUUCAGCUGAAAGUACUGUACGAAUAAGGAUCGGCUAACUCCGUGCCAGCAGCCGCGGUAAUACGGAGGAUCCAAGCGUUAUCCGGAUUUAUUGGGUUUAAAGGGUGCGUAGGCGGGCUGCCAAGUCAGCGGUAAAAUUGCGGGGCUCAACCCCGUCGAGCCGUUGAAACUGGCGGGG